rnacentral:rRNA from 1 species
UGCUAUGGUAUAACUUAGUGGCAGACGGGUGAGUAAUGUAUAGGAAUCUACCUAGUAGUACGGAAUAAUUGUUGGAAACGACAACUAAUACCGUAUACGCCCUACGGGGGAAAAAUUUAUUGCUAUUAGAUGAGCCUAUAUUAGAUUAGCUAGUUGGUGGGGUAAUAGCCUACCAAGGUAAUGAUCUAUAGCUGAUCUGAGAGGAUGAUCAGCCACACUGGAACUGAGAUACGGUCCAGACUCCUACGGGAGGCAGCAGUGGGGAAUAUUGGACAAUGGGCGAAAGCCUGAUCCAGCCAUGCCGCAUGAGUGAAGAAGGCCUUUGGGUUGUAAAGCUCUUUUAGUGAGGAAGAUAAUGACGGUACUCACAGAAGAAGUCCUGGCUAACUCCGUGCCAGCAGCCGCGGUAAUACGGAGAGGGCUAGCGUUAUUCGGAAUUAUUGGGCGUAAAGGGCGCGUAGGCUGGUUAAUAAGUUAAAAGUGAAAUCCCGAGGCUUAACCUUGGAAUUGCUUUUAAAACUAUUAAUCUAGAGAUUGAAAGAGGAUAGAGGAAUUCCUGAUGUAGAGGUAAAAUUCGUAAAUAUUAGGAGGAACACCAGUGGCGAAGGCGUCUAUCUGGUUCAAAUCUGACGCUGAAGCGCGAAGGCGUGGGGAGCAAACAGGAUUAGAUACCCUGGUAGUCCACGCUGUAAACGAUGAAUGUUAAAUAUGGGGAGUUUACUUUCUGUAUUACAGCUAACGCGUUAAACAUUCCGCCUGGGGACUACGGUCGCAAGAUUAAAACUCAAAGGAAUUGACGGGGACCCGCACAAGCGGUGGAGCAUGUGGUUUAAUUCGAUGCAACGCGAAAAACCUUACCACUUCUUGACAUGAAAAU